UUGAGAUAUGUAUUUUUCUUCUCUUUCUUCUAUUGUGUACCCGCUCUCCUCAUGGCCCUGUUCUGCUCAGAGAGGCUCUCCUUUGCCAGUGUCAUUUGUAUUCAGCCAUUGUGCUGAAUUACAUUCAGACAUUGUGUUGGGGUGGAGAUUAAACCAAAAAUCCAUGGAAUGUCUCCUACAGGAUGUAAAAUUCUACAUGAUUGGCCUUGUGUAAAUAUUAAGCAAAACCAGUAAAUCAAAAUUAUCAGAUUAACAUAUUUUAGCAAGCAGCAUCCAUAUGAAAGGAAAUGUUGACAUUCUUUAUGAAAGCUGCUUUUUCCCUUUACUGCUGCCAUUUUUAUUGUGGAUUUCCCUGUUCAGCACUUAGUUCCAAUUUUUUAAAUGAUCCAUUUCAACACCAGACAGCAAUAUUCUUCCAGUCAUAUGAGUUUUUGGUUGCAUUUUAUUACAUUAAAGAUUGCAAAGCUCUACUGUGAAUUACAGUAUUAACAUUCCUUGUAUUUUGGAGGACUAUGUUCACAAGAAUUAUUAUGACUGGGUCCAGGGAUUCUUUGUUUGGGCCUUUGAAGAGAGAAGUCCAAUGCACUUUAACCUUUGGUGGUAACUAAGUUAUAAGUUCAUUGUAUAAUUUCAAAAAAUUUAAAGUACAAAAACAAUGGAUAACUCAUUUAAGAAUCCCAAAGAGAUGUUGGAUUUAAAGGAGGUACGCAGUUGAAGAUGGUAAUACUUUCAAGUAAUAAUCAAUUUACCUGAAAAUAGUUUCCCAGAACUUUGCUUAUAACUUAGUUGCUUGAACUCAAAAUGCAGUUUUCUUAGAAACAAUGCUAUAAAUUCAAGUCCAUCCAAUGGAUGCUUAAGUGCCAAUGCUAUCUCCACCCUUUAGAACUUGCUUGCUGGUGGUGUGGAAAAAAAGGCAAGGACACAAAUAACUUGGCAAACCUCUUUUCAACACAUUGUCAAGUGCCUUAUAAAGCAAGCUCAGACAUGGCAGAAAGCCACCAUCAAAUUUCAGAGUCAAAGAAUGCAUAAAUUGUUACAAAUUUAUUCUAAAGAUCAACUACCCAGAAUUUGGGAGGUUUGUGCUAAUAUUUUACUCUCAACGCCUUGUCAUUUCUUCUUCUCCCAGCAUAAGUACCUCACUAUCCACUGCCUCCUCAAAAACGGUUGGGGCAGGGGGCAGGCCGGGUGGCGCAGCAGUUAAGUUCGCACGUUCUGCUACGGCGGUGGCCCGGGGUUCACCAGCCUGGAUCCCUGGGGCAAACUAUGCACCGUGUGUCAAGCCAUGCUGUGGCAGGCGUCCCACAUAUAAAGUAGAGGAAGAUGGGCACAGACGUUAAGUCAGGUGCAGCCUUCCUCAGCAAAAGGAGGAGGAUUGGCAGCAGAUGUUAGCUCAGGGUUAAUCUUCCUCAAAAAAAAAAAAAAAAAAAAAAAACGGAUGGGGCAGGUAGAAAGCUGUUUCUGCUAAAGAGUAUUUGGAACUUUACUGGAUUUAAGAACUUCACCCUUUUUACUAAGCUUAGAAUCUCUACCAAGGAUGCCCCAUCACUUAAGUAAAUGAUUAAUAUUGAUCUGAAAAUGACAAAUUGCCAAAGCUUUAGGGAUUUUUAUCUCUUCACUAGAACUGGCAGAGUUUCUGACACUAUAAUCUAUUUUCGCUUGUGAUAAUCUUAUUUUCUGAUCUAUUUAGCAUAGCACAGUAUUCUUGUUAAUGUUUUGAGAAUUGUUUUUACUGUUUUACCUUAAAGUUCAUGUUUGCAUUUAGAGACCAGUUUUUUUCUUCCUGUGGAUCCCAUUAUAAACGUGAUUGAGAACCCUACUCUAUUAAAUGAAGAAUACCUCAUGGUGUCAAUAGUUACAUUUCUCUCAGGUCUCCCAAUCAAACUGAUAUUUAAAACAUUUAACAUCUACUACAGCACCCACUGCUGGUCCACCAGCCUGCUCACACUUCCAGAUUCUUCUGUCUCUCCCUGGCUCCCUCAGAACCAGAGUCCCAUGGAGACUGAAGUUCCCACACCUACAAAAGGGACAAGGGGCAGCCAGUCUGCAGGGCUCCCUGUGGGAGCCACUAACAGCACCCAGGAGGCAAGGAUUUGAGAGACUGACUGGCACGGGCAUCAGCUAGUCAGAGUUAGAGCAGGUUUCUGGAAUCCUGGACAUUCGCCCUUUAGUUGCUAUGCCAAGCACAUCCUGGGUGAGAAGCCAGUGUGGCCAGGGUACUUUUACCAACCUAUAGGGGAGUUUUUAAAUAUUUUGUUAAUCUCUGGAGCCUUACCUGUAAAUACUGGCUGAGUAUCAAACCUGUACACAACCCAUCAUAAGAAACUGGAUGUAUAGACUCAAGGCAGUUGUGUGGGGAUAAGAGGACAUUUUAGCCUCUUUAGCUUUCCUUGUUUCCCUUGCUUGAAUCUGACCUUCUUCUGCUUUGAAUGUGGGUUCAAUGCCUGAAAAACUUUUGGUGUCUGUUUACCCAAACUUUUGACUUUUUCCUUCUAAGCCUCAGUUUCCUCUUCCGUAAAAUGGUUAUAUUAAUAGUGUUUCAACAUACUGUGGCUGUGAAGUUUAAAUGAAAUAAUACAAGUGAAACCCUUAAGUUUGCACUGGCCAUUAGCGACUUUUCACAAGAUCUGAAAUUAAUGGGUUUUAUGAUCCUAUAUGCAGGUACAUAAAUGGUGGGUACGUUUGACUACAUGAACACAUGCUGGGCAUUGUGUUAGAACAAAAGGAUGACCAGAAAAAUAGGUUACUGUUGGAUAUGAGAAAUUUUCAUGCUUUCAAACACUAUAGGGCUAUUGUGUGUUUUGACGACUUGAAGAAUUCUGGGGUUGCAGGGGCUAAUGUCAGCUUGUGGCUUCUGGGCUUUUAUUCCUAAUGAGGAGGAGGUAUUUUCACUCUCUAGAAAGAAGGAGAUCCUUUGUCAAGCUUCAGGUCUCCCUGUACUCAUCAUAUAUUAUCUUUUCCUUUGACUUUUGCUCAAAACCAGGGAAUAGAGCAUAUCUUAAAAGCACCAGUGUCAGGAAACCCCAGGCUCUUUCAUUUCUGGGCAACAUGAAUAAGAAGACUGUCAUAAAGGACAUGGAACCUUAGGAGGAAAUAAAUAAAAAUGAAUCCUAGAGGGCAGCAUAAAAAAGUGUAUAGGAAAACUCUGCUAACAAGUAAAUGAGUAUUUUUAACAAGGUUUUCUUGUCAUCCUCUUUGACUGGCAUCAGAGUCUUCACUUGAACUGUGUCAUAUUAGGUGCUCUGAGCAAAAGUCAAUUAUAAUCUAGACUCCUGAUGAAGACUAAACAUCAAAAUGAGAGUAUGAAGAAAGCGUGUGGCUCGCCAUUUGCUGAGAGCUCCUUUGAACCAUGUCUAUUUGUUUCCUGUUUCUUCUUGGUGUUUUAUCAUAUUCACAAUAUGCUUUGUUUGUGUUUUGAUUUCCCUUCUUGAAAGUCUUAUUCACAAAUGCGUGUCAUUGUUCUAGUCACAUACUGGUUUAACAUUGACUAAUUACUUAACCUUUCUUGAUGUUUUCUUCAUUAUCCAUGAGGUGGAAAAAAAUUCCUCAGAUGCAUUUUGAAAACUCCCAGCUAAUUCUCUAGCUGUGAUUUCUAAACCAAAACUGUUUGCAUUCUUCUAACCCUAAAAUUUCUUAGUCUGAAAAAUAUGUAUAUGAUAAUGGUCCUUCUUUGAAGAGUCUUAUUUAAAACACUUUCCUCGUAUUCUUUUCAUGAAACCACCUGCAUCACUGCCAAAGAACCACUGCCAUGACCGUCUAGAUUAAUAAGUGAAAGCCAAAAAUAAAAGGGAGAGAAAAAUGUGAAGCUGAAUUUAUAUGAGAGAAAUUGUUAAAUAAUAAUUGCAGAAGUUAAAUAGUAUCCAAAUAUUAUUAAUUCUUAGGUUUACAUGUCUGUUGAUAUUAUUUUCUUUGUUAAAUGAAAAAUCCCUGUUCUUUUUAAUAAAAUUGGGAUCAUUUAACAAAACCAAAUAUAGUGAGGGUCCCAAAUUCUCUGUCUUUGCAUUGUUCUUAGAAAUGGGAGAUUUCAAUAAUGUUAUUUUAUGCAAAUAUUUUACUAUUCAGAUAUUAAUCAUAGAUAUUAUGUUUAUUUUUUCAACACAUGCAUUAUAUUUGUCCUUGUUAUUAAUAUUAAUUUUGAGAUGGAAGAUAAGAAUUUAGUGUUAUAAAUGUGUGAAGCAUUUUCUUUGAUCUAGUAGAACUUUUCAUAUUAGUCAAAAUAGCAUAUAUCAUUUUGAGGUAUGAGCAUUAACUUACAUCUUUGUCUCCUUCUCCUCUUCCCGAUUGGCAGUUUCUGGAAAGCAGCAACCUUGCCUGCCUUAUAUUCAUUCCUAUGUUUGUCACAUAGGUUCUUGGCAUGAUGCCCGGCAUGUAUGGGUGCUCAAUAAAUGCUCUGUGAAUAAACAAAUCAAUGAUAUUGAUGUUACAGAUGUAUACAAAUUGUGUAGGAUUGCUAUAAAUAUUUAAAUUCAGUAGCCUUAUAGAAUAGUGUCAAUUAAUUAUCUGUAUCUUAGUAUACGUCAAGAAGCAGCAAAGAACUCUAUAAAGAUCAAUACUCAAGCUCACUCCCAAGGAAGUUAUAUGGCCCAUCCUAAGCAGCAAAAAGAAUAUGGUCACUGAAGGCCUUU